GGAUAACCUGCCCUUGGGACCGGGAUAACCCCGGGAAACUGGGGAUAAUACCGGAUAACGCAUAUCUGCUGGAAUGCUUUAUGCGUAAAAUGGAUUUGUCUGCCCAAGGAUGGGUCUGCGGCCUAUCAGGUAGUGGUGGGUGUAAUGUACCUACUAGCCUACGACGGGUACGGGUUGUGAGAGCAAGAGCCCGGAGAUGGAUUCUGAGACAUGAAUCCAGGCCCUACGGGGCGCAGCAGGCGCGAAAACUUUACAAUGCGGGAAACCGUGAUAAGGGGACACCGAGUGCCAGCAUCAUAUGUUGGCUGUCCAGAUGUGUAAAAUACAUCUGUUAGCAAGGGCCGGGCAAGACCGGUGCCAGCCGCCGCGGUAACACCGGCGGCCCGAGUGGUGAUCGUGAUUAUUGGGUCUAAAGGGUCCGUAGCCGGUUUGGUCAGUCCUCCGGGAAAUCUGACGGCUCAACCGUUAGGCUUUCGGUGGAUACUGCCAGACUUGGAACCGGGAGAGGUAAGAGGUACUACAGGGGUAGGAGUGAAAUCUUGUAAUCCCUGUGAGACCACCUGUGGCGAAGGCGUCUUACCAGAACGGGUUCGACGGUGAGGGACGAAAGCUGGGGGCACGAACCGGAUUAGAUACCCGGGUAGUCCCAGCCGUAAACGAUGCUCGCUAGGUGUCAGGCAUGGCGCGACCGUGUCUGGUGCCGCAGGGAAGCCGUGAAGCGAGCCACCUGGGAAGUACGGCCGCAAGGCUGAAACUUAA
rnacentral:rRNA from 1 species